AACGAACGCUGGCGGCAUGCCUAACGCAUGCGAGUCGAACGAGACCUUCGGGUCUAGUGGCGCACGGGUGCGUAACGCGUGGGAAUCUGCCCUUGGGUUCGGAAUAACAGUUGGAAACGACUGCUAAUACCGGAUGAUGACGUAAGUCCAAAGAUUUAUCGCCCAAGGAUGAGCCCGCGUAGGAUUAGCUAGUUGGUGAGGUAAAGGCUCACCAAGGCGACGAUCCUUAGCUGGUCUGAGAGGAUGAUCAGCCACACUGGGACUGAGACACGGCCCAGACUCCUACGGGAGGCAGCAGUGGGGAAUAUUGGACAAUGGGCGAAAGCCUGAUCCAGCAAUGCCGCGUGAGUGAUGAAGGCCUUAGGGUUGUAAAGCUCUUUUACCCGGGAUGAUAAUGACAGUACCGGGAGAAUAAGCUCCGGCUAACUCCGUG
rnacentral:rRNA from 1 species